rnacentral:lncRNA from 1 species
AUGGACAUCCCAUGUAAUUGCCCUUUUCAGGUUCUUAAGCUGUUCAGAUUGGGAUCCAAAACACCUAGACUGUAUUCAGAAGAAGGGGAUGAGAAACAAGAAAUGCUCCAGCAGGAUUUUUUAACCUUUUUCUCCAAAGCCUUCUUACUCUCCUUGCUUGAGACUGUACAGCUGUCUUGGACGACAGGCACUUGCAUCAGUGCAUCACUACAUGCAGCAGGGCCAGAAGGAAGUUUCACUGAACGUGUGGCUGUGAGGAAGUUUCACUGUUCAUAUGGCUGUGACCGGGAGGGAUCACACUCUCCUGAAGCAUGACCACAAGGGGAUCUUCUGGAGUACCUUCUGGUACCUUCUUGUGUAGCUUCGCUCUGUUUUCUGCCCCUGGCCUAAGUUCCAGGAUCUGCAUCCAACUUCUGAACUUACAAACUUGUUUGCUGGCUGGAAGAAGGCACGCGUCCCUCUGUUGCAACUGUGAUCUCAAAUGGUAAAACAAACCGGAAAACUAGUUUCUGUUGGAUGCAGGAGAAGGGUUGUUAUCCCUACCUUGGGAAUUGCCAUUAGUUUGGAAGUUGCUGUUGUUUUCAGACAUUUUAUGAAGAAUAUAGAAAAUACAUUUUUCCUUCCCCCAUUGUUCUCUUGGUAACAAAACCUCUUUUUGAGCAACAAGCAGAAAAAACAAAUCCAGGGUAAGGCUAAGGGGUUGUGGUUGUUCCGUCCACAUAGUGCUGAGCAGUAGUUUACUCUUACAAAAAUUCCCCUUUUGUUUUACACCUCACCUUGGAUCUGGCUGACCACAUUGAUGGUUUCACUAUUUUACUUUAUAAUCACAGAUUCCUUUCCCCUCAUUUAUUGAGAUCUCUACAUUUCCAAGUAGGGCAUCUUUUAUGCAACAUCAAACCGAACAGAUACAAUUAAUUCUGAGACUUUAAAUAUAUGUAUGAGAAUUGCAAUGACUUUUCAAACAUGAAACUUCAACAAUUUAAAAUUAUUUUGUUGAAUGAGAUGACUCAUUAUGCCUGGGAAAAAAAGAUACUGUAAUUUUGUUGUAUUUUCCUGUCAUUAAGAAAAUAUUAUGCUUCAAGCAGAUGAAGGACAGCAAAAUAUGCAGACUCAGUGUUACUGGAUAGUGGUAGCAAAGAGAAGCACUUUACGUUUGCUCACAGGUAUGUAUGAGUGUGUUUCUACUUUUUGUUUCUUUAAAAAGAAAGAAAGAUAUCAAUCUUGGGGAACAAAGUAGAGCUGUGGUUUCUAAAAGACAG